UACGUAGGGUGCGAGCGUUAAUCGGAAUUACUGGGCGUAAAGCGUGCGCAGGCGGUUCGACAAGUCUGAUGUGAAAUCCCCGGGCGUCAACCUAGGGAACGUAGCGUUGGUAAACGUAGUCGGGCGUAGAGUGUAGAAGAGGGGGUAGGAAUUCACGUGUAGCAGUGAAAUAGCGUAGAGAUGUGGAGGAAUACCGAUGGCGAAGGC
rnacentral:rRNA from 1 species